ACACUGGCUUGAUUUACUGUAGCUUUGUAGUAAGUUUUGAAACUAGGAAGUGUGACUACUCCAUCUUUGUUCUUCUUUUUCAAGAUUGUUUGGCUCUUCUGGGCCCAUUGCACUUAACACCUAAAUUUUAGGAUCAACUUUGAUUUCUGCAAAAAAAAGGUACCUGGGAUUUUGAAAGGUAUUGUGCUGACUCUGUAAAUCAGUCUGGGAGAUAUUGCAUUUUAACAAUAUCAAUUGUUCCAAUCCAUGAAUAUGCACUGUCUUAACACUUAUUUAGAUCUUUAAUUUUUUUCAACAAAAUUUUAUACUUUUCAAUUUAAAAGUCUUGCAUUUUUUUGUUACAUAUUACUAAGUAUUUUAUUCUUUUAGAGAGUGGGAUGGGAAUAGGGCAAGUGAAAACACCACAAAACUCACUGUUUUCACAGAGAUUUAGUCAUUUUUAUUGAAUAAAUGCUCUUCCAAUUGUUGUAAAUUGUUAAUUUGCAAAGUUUUGAAACAACCAUUCUUGCCAGUGUUCUCACUUCUUUCAUGGAGGAGUGGAUUUUCUGAAUUUUUUCUGACAUACCAGAAAUCAGAACUGUCUAUUAUUUAUACCACUGUCUUAUUUUAGUUAUCUGCCUGGUCUCCGAGGACAUUUGAGACAUCAAGGCAGGUGACUCAAACAGAGAGGUAUGACACAGAAGUUCAUCAGGUCACCAGGCAUCGUCAUGGCCAACGAGGUUAUAUUAACAGAUAUAUUGGGUUAAAGUUACCAAUAUGGAGGCCACAGGUAGGGUAGUGUCAAGGAGUCAUACUAGGAGUUGUUCCUCAGUGAACUGAAAGUCAAAGAGCCAUGAAGUGGCCAAUAAUCAGGUUUGUUUCUUGAUAGAGGCUCAAACCAAGAGGAAUAUCAUUACACCCCAAAUCUAGGAGAGACAAAUGCAUCUCAAAUGUCAACAUUAAUCAAUUCAUAGUUGUGACCUGGAGCUCGGUGUUGAGAAGACUCUAAUCACAUGUGGGCUUAGUGCCAAUCACUGAAUCAAUCAAUCAGAUCAACUAGAAAAUAAUGGCCACUCAAAUAGGGUGAAAGAGGAGAUUAAAGGGAUUAUUUAGGGAACUAUGGACAGAGUUAAAGGAAGUUAAUUAGGAGGGUCUUGUACUAUAGGCCAGAAAUAGUGAUUGCUGCUCUGAAGCCUGAACAACCUUCAUUCAGCAGGAUUGAUUAAAGAAAUGAGGGUUUUAGUGACUGAUGUAGAGUGGUUUUGUUUUUUUUGGGGGGGGGGCACACCUGUGGCAUAUGGAGGUUCCCAGGCUAGGGGUCUAAUUGGAGCUAUAGCUGCCAGCCACAGCCACAGCCACAGCCAUGCCAGAUCUAAGCCAGAUCUGUGACCUACACCACAGCUCAUGGCAAUGCCAGAUCCUUAACCCAUUGAGCGAAGCUAGGGAUCAGACCUACAACCUCAUGGUUCCUAGUCAGAUUCGUUUCUGCUGCGCCAUGACAGGAACACCUAGAGUUCUUUUUUUGGCCACUUCUUGUACCAUAACUGAGGUAGGUUGUAAUAAAAUCCAUACUUUUCCUUAAAAAUUUCAGAAUCUCUUGAUUGUAAAUGCUUGGGUAUAUUUUUAUAGGUGAACAAAUGCAAUUUAUUAUUAACUUCUAUCAAACAUUCCAACUCCAUCUAAUAUAUGAGAGAUUCUAAAUUACCAAGGAGCUGCACUAUAGAUUUAAUUAUCUUGCUGAAUCCUUACCACAAAUAAAUCAGCAUUGCAUUGUUUGAAAGCCCCCAAGACCACUCUCACUUCUGACACUAACUGCAAAUUUGAGGGUACCCAAGAUCCACCUCAGGUUCAAUAAUUUGCUAUGACCCGCGGAACUCACUAGAAGCUCUUAUACUCACAGUUAUAAUUUACUACAGUGAAAAGAUAGACAUUAAAAUCAGCAGAGACAAGAGGCACAUAGGCCAGUGUCAGGAGAGAUCUAAGCAUGACCUUCCAGUCUUCCCAGUGGAUUUGUGGACCCUGGUAGCUUCUCUUAGAAAUGCAUGAUAGAUACAUGAAGUAUUGCCAACUAUGACCCUUACCUGAGUUUUUGUGUCCAGAGUUUUUGUUGAGGUUGGUUGUAUAGUCAUGGUUAACUGUCUGUAUGGCUGACCUUAAUUCUCCAGCCCCUUCAGAGGUCAAACUAAUAUUGCAUGGUCCAAGACCUCCCACCAUAAGUCACGUGUUGCAUAGACCAUCUGGUGUUGUCUCCAGGUUCCCAAGUAAAUAAAGACACUCUUAUCAGGCAGGAUGUCCCAAGUAUCAGAAGUUACGUCACAGGAGCCAAGGGCAAAGGCUAGCUCCUUAGACAAGUUUAAUCCUUUACCACACAAGUAUGUAGAGUUAUAGAAUCGUAAUUUAAAAAACAGAAUGGGGGAUUCCUUCAAGCAGGCAGACAUCUGAUAGGGAUUUUCCUAUUGUCCUUGUAGCUCAUUGAUAUUUAGUGUAUGUAAGAACUAUUAUACACAAAAUUUUGCAUGCUGGACAUCCUGGGAUAUGUGAGGGAAUUUCAAGGGACUUUUUACUUUACAGCUUAACUUAUAAAAAUAUCUUGUCACUAUACCUAAUUCCCACCACAAUGAAAUACAUAAGCAGCUGCUGCUAUAAAGAAAUAAAAACAAAAGCAAACAAAAACACCCUAAAUAAAGAAAUUGUUUUUACAAAAGAAUAUAAUCUGGAAAUUGAACUUCUGCUACAGUUACAAUUUACAUUAUAGCCAUGAACAAGUUCCUGUUGUGGCUCAGCAGGUUAGGAACCCAACUAGUGUUCAUGAGGAUGCAGGUUUAAUCCCUGGCCUCACUCAGUGGAUUAAGGAGCUGGUGUUGCUAUGAGCUGUGGGGUCAAAUUGGAGCUGCAGCCACCAACCUAUGCCACUGCCAUAGUAACGCCCGAUCUGAGCCAUAUUUGUGACCAACACCACAGCUCACAGCAAUGUCAGAUCGCUGACCCACUGAGCAAGGCCAGGGAUUGAACUGCAUCUUCACAGACACCGGUUGGGCUCAUUUCUGCUGAGCCACAGCAGGAAUUCCCUGUCCUUAUUCUUGAAUUAGACUUUAGUUAAGCAUGGAAUUCUAUGUCGACCAUAAUUGCCUUCAGCAUUUUCAAGAUAUUACCCCACUAUCUUGCACCUAUUGUUGUGGGUGAGAAGUCCAUUGCCAUCAUGAUUGUCUUGCCUUUAUAGGCAAGAAUCUCUUUUCUCUAUUUGCUAUUAAAGCUUUUUCUCUUUACACCUGAUGUUUUGUGGUUUCACUAUUACGUGUCCAUUUCAUUUCAUUUUUCUAGCACAAAAUUGUUUGUUCCUUCAACUUGAAGGCUCUCAUUUUUCUUCAAUCCUAGAAAAUUCUCAACCAUUUUCUAGAAUAAGGUCCUGCUGCAAGCGAUACAAAGAAACAAGCAAAGCCCAGAAAACCUCUAAGUUAGUGUGGCUUAUACAAGAUAGAAAUUUCUUUCUCACAUAAAUUAGGUCUUCCAGGUAGUGUCUGAUGAUGUCAGGGGUUCAGGGACUCUUCUAUUUUAUUGAUCCACUAUCCUCAGCAAGCACAUUCUCUACUCAAACUUAAACUAUAACAUCUGCAUUCCAGUUGCUAGGAAGGAAGAAGUACAGAGACGUGCCUACCUCCUCCUUAUAAAUACAUUUCUGGCAGUUGUAACUGCUGUUUUAGUUACAUCUCAUACAUAGUCAUAUGGUCAAUCUAGAUACAUGGGAAGCUGGCAAAUACUGUCUUUAGUUGGGCAGCUGAAUUCCCAGCUAAAACUGGGUGAUUCUAUGAAUAAGGCAGAGGGGAAGAUCGGUUCCUGGGAACAACUAGUAGUCUCAAGCAUAGCCAUUUUUAUGAUUGCAAAUUUCUCUCACAUAUUCUCUAUUAUGUCUCUCUGAAACUCUUAGUAAUGUUCUAUUCUCUUUGCCUCUUUUUAAUGUUAUUUUUGUGUUACUUUCUGUGAGAGUUCUUCAGCUCUCAUUCCAAUUUACUGAUUUCCUUCCUUCCUUCCUUCCUUCCUUCCUUCCUUCCUUCCUUCCUUCCUUCCCUCCUUCCUUCCUUCCUUUCUUUCUUUCUUCACCAUGCCUGCAGCAUAUGGAAGUUUCCAGUCCAGGAAUUGAAUCUGAGCCAUAGCUGUGAUCUACGCUACAGCUGUGGCCAGAUCCUUUAACCCACUGCUCCAGGCAAGGGAUCAAACCUGUGACUCCAUAGCAACCCAAGCUGCUGCAGUCAAAUCCCAAACCUACUGUACCACAGCAGGAACUUCAAAUACCUUCUCUCUCUUUUUAUUUUUGGCUGUACCCACAGCACAUGGAAGUUUUAGGUUCAGUUUUUUUAGUAUAGUUUUUAUUCUCUUAUGUCUCAAAUCAUUCAAGAAUACUUACUUCAUAGUCUCUUUGCUCUGUAUCUGUAAUUCUUGGGGGAUAAAUUCUGCUAACUUCUUCCCAUAGAAGACAUAGAUAUAUAGAUACAGAUAUACAACAUAUACACACGUAUGUAUGUAGAUAUCUGUAUAUAUGUGUAUGUGUGUGUACGCACAUGUGUAUUUUUUUCAUCUCAUCUUGGGUAUUUCUAUGUUUCAUGGUUGUAGGAUUGUAAAGUUUAUGAUGGAGCAAUUUUGUUUUGUCUCUACCAGUGUCCUUCACGUUUCCCUGGUUCAAACCAGUUUUUCUGUUGCUACCUCAGUUUGAGUUUCCUGCACUGUUCAUGAAUACACAUUUGGCCCCUACUCUUGCGUAUAGCUCAGUUUGGGAGGUAUUUCAUGUGGGUGGUAAUCAGUCACUUUCUCCCCUAAUUCUCAGGCUAAUGGGAGGAUAUAUUCUAAAAUACUUUUCACAGCACAAAAGCUAUUCUGGAAUCCUGGUUCUAUGCUCAGCUCCAACUCCACUGCUCUUGGGAUCUCAAUUCCCCUUCCAGCUCAGCUCAGCUAUUAAAAUCCCAGGUCCUGGAGUUCCUGUAGCAGUUCAGUGGAAAUGAACCCAACUAGUAUCCACGAGGAUGCAGGUUCAAUUGUUCUAUCCCUGGCCUCAUUCAGUGGGUUAAUGAUCCGGUAUUGCUGAGAGCUGUGGUGUAGGUUGAAGUCAUGGCUCAGAUCAAGCACUGCUGUGGCUGUGGCAUAGGCUGGCCCCCAGCCUGGGAAUUUCCAUAUGCCAUAGUUCUAGCCCUUAAAAAAGAAAUUAAAAAAAAAAAAAGGAAAAAAAAAA
rnacentral:lncRNA from 1 species